GUGCUUGCUUCGGCAGCACAUAUACUAAAACUGGAACAAUACAGAGAUUGGCAUGGCCCUGUGAAAGGAUGACAUGCAAAUUCACGAAGCAUUCUAUAGCUUU
ensembl:snRNA U6 U6 spliceosomal RNA